rfam:Vibrio sp. MEBiC08052 genomic scaffold scaffold00002, whole genome shotgun sequence.
GAUUAUGGUGAGCUGGGUUGGGCUGACUCAGUCAGGCUGCAACCUGUGGUGCGGUAGUUCGAACCCUCCCAGUUCACCACCUCU